UCAAGUGAAUAAGUGCAUACGACGGAUGCCUUGGCAGUAGAAGGCGAUGAAGGACGUGAUAAUCUGCGAUAAGCUUCGGUUAGCUGAUAAUAAGCUCUAACCCGGAGAUCUCCGAAUGGGAAAACCCAGUGAUCAUAAGAUCAUUAUCCUUAACUGAAUACAUAGGUUAAGGAGGCAAACCUAGGGAACUGAAACAUCUAAGUACCUAGAGGAAAAGAAAUCAACCGAGAUUCCCUUAGUAGCGGCGAGCGAACGGGGACCAGCCCUUAAGCAAUUUUUUGAUUAGUAGAAUGUUCUGGAAAGUUCAACGACACAGGGUGAUAGUCCCGUAUACGAAAAUCUUUUAAUUGUGAAAUCGAGUAAGGCGGCGCACGUGAAACGCUGUUUGAAUAUGGGGGGACCACCCUCCAAGGCUAAAUACUCUCUACUGACCGAUAGUGAACAAGUACCGUGAGGGAAAGGCGAAAAGAACCCCGGGAGGGGAGUGAAAUAGAACCUGAAAUCGUAUGCAUACAAGCAGUAGGAGCAGACUUGUUCUGUGACUGCGUACCUUUUGUAUAAUGGGUCAGCGACUUACUUCUCAGUAGCAAGGUUAACCAUUAGGGGAGCCGUAGGGAAACCGAGUCUUAAAUGGGCGAUUAGUUGCUGGGAGUAGACCCGAAACCGGGUGAUCUAUCCAUGGCCAGGGUGAAGGUUAGGUAAAACUAACUGGAGGCCCGAACCCACUUAUGUUGAAAAAUGAGGGGAUGAGCUGUGGAUAGGGGUGAAAGGCCAAACAAACCCGGAGAUAGCUGGUUCUCUCCGAAAUCUAUUUAGGUAGAGCGUCAUGUAUUACUUCUGGGGGUAGAGCACUGUUAUGGCUAGCGGGUCGUCAAGACUUAGUAAACCAUUGCAAACUCCGAAUACCAGAAAGUAUGAGCAUGGCAGACACACUGCGGGUGCUAACGUCCGUAGUGGAAAGGGAAACAACCCAGACCGUCAGCUAAGGUCCCAAAAUUAUAGUUAAGUGGGAAACGAUGUGAAAAGGCAUAGACAGCCAGGAGGUUGGCUUAGAAGCAGCCAUUCCUUUAAAGAGUGCGUAAUAGCUCACUGGUCGAGUCGGUUUGCGCGGAAGAUUUAACGGGGCUAAACUAUAUACCGAAGCUGCGGAUCGCAAUUUAUUGCGAUGGUAGGAGAGCGUUCUGUAAGCCGUUGAAGGUGAACUGUGAGGUUUGCUGGAGGUAUCAGAAGUGCGAAUGCUGACAUGAGUAACGAUAAAGGGGGUGAAAAACCCCCUCGCCAGAAGUCCAAGGUUUCCUACGCAACGUUAAUCGGCGUAGGGUUAGUCGGCCCCUAAGGCGAGGCAGAAAUGCGUAGUCGAUGGGAAACGGGUUAAUAUUCCCGUACUUCAUAUAACUGCGAUGGGAAGACGGAGAAGGUUAGCUCAGCAAGGCGAUGGUUGUCCUUGUUCAAGCGUGUAGAAAUGGUUCUUAGGAAAAUCCGGGAACCUCUAUUUCAAGGCGUGAUAACGAUCCCUCUUUUGGGAGAAGUGAGUGAGACCAUGCUUCCAGGAAAAUCCUCUAAGCUUCAGGUUAUAUGAAACCGUACCCCAAACCGACACAGGUGGACGAGAUGAGAAUUCUAAGGCGCUUGAGAGAACUCGGGUGAAGGAACUAGGCAAAAUGACACCGUAACUUCGGGAGAAGGUGUACUCUUGUUAUGUGAUAUCACUUGCUGAUAAAGCAGAAAAGAGUUGAAAAUACUAGGUGGCUGCGACUGUUUAUUAAAAACACAGCACUCUGCAAACACGUAAGUGGACGUAUAGGGUGUGACUCCUGCCCGGUGCUUGAAGGUUAAUUGAUGAGGUUAGCGCUUGCGCGAAGCUUUUGAUCGAAGCCCAAGUAAACGGCGGCCGUAACUAUAACGGUCCUAAGGUAGCGAAAUUCCUUGUCGGGU
rnacentral:rRNA from 1 species